rnacentral:rRNA from 1 species
GAUGAAUGCUGGCGGCGUGCCUAACACAUGCAAGUCGAGCGGCAGCGAGUUUUACACUGAAUUCUGGAAGCUUCUGCGUAGUACAGAAGAUUUAUUCGAGAGUUUUGUUUAAAAUGUCGGCGAGCUUCGGGCGGCUGAGUAACGCGUCGGAAUUUGCCUCAAAGUGCAGAAUACCUGCCCGAAAGGGUAUCUAAUUCCCCCUAUGGUCUUCGUCUUCACUCCUUCGGAUGCUUUGGGAGAAGCCUGCUUUGGAUUAGGUAGUUGGUAGGGUAAUCGCCUACCAAGGCGACGAUGCAUAGCUGGGAAGAGAGGAAGAACAGACAGACUGGAAGGGAGACACAGUAGAGACUCCUACGGGAGGCAGCAGUGAGGAAUCGUGCAAAACGGGCGAAAGGAUGAUGGUGCAACGACGCGAGAAGGAUGAAGGCAUGCGGGUUGUAAACUGCUAUUAAGAGUGAAGAAUAUGACGGUAACUAAUGAAUAAGCACCGGCUAACUACGUG